rnacentral:lncRNA from 1 species
ACUGUAUCCCAUUACACAGACCUCCAGAACUCAUGAAGGUGCCUACCAUAUAGAUGUUCACAUAAGGGCCAUGUGGAUUCCUAUACUGUCUGAGAAACAUAAUAAAACUUCCAUUAGAGGAGAAAACCUUCUCUGGAAACAUGGACAAAAUGAAAUUAAAAUGCUGUUCCAGAUUCCUAGGUCUGAGCACAAGAGAGUCAUCCAACUGUGUAUGAAGAACAGAGGUAUAAUGAAAGGAAAGCAAGCAGCAACGGGCUACCUGAAAAUCCAUGCGAACUCUAGGAGAAGCAUCUCUGCUCUCAUCCCAGUCUUCUUAAAAGGCAGGAGAGGGAGAUGUCUCAUUGGACUGCAACUCUCAGGACUGUGACUAGGGUGCAGCAGUUGGGGCUUUGCUUAGAGGGCACCAAAAUCUGGAAUCCAUAUCCUGAUGACUGGUUGUAAAAUAAAUGGCAACACUGGCCAGCCUUUUUAAAAAUC